rnacentral:rRNA from 1 species
GUGGCGAACGGUCGAGUAACACGUAGACUACCUGCCUUCCAGUGGGGGAUACCCUCGAGAAAUCGGGGCUAAUACCGCAUACGGUGGGAAGGAGCCUUCCUUCCUGACCAAAGGAGCAAUCCGCUGGGAGAUGGGUCUGCGGCCUAUCAGCUGGUUGGUGGGGUAACGGCCUACCAAGGCGACGACGGGUAGCUGGUCUGAGAGGAUGAUCAGCCGGACGGGGACUGAGACACGGCCCCGACUCCUUCGGGAGGCAGCAAUGAGGAAUAUUGCGCAAUGGGCGAAAGCCUGACGCAGCGACGCCGCGUGGGUGAGGAAGUCCUUCGGGAUGUAAAGCCCUUUUCUCGGGGACGAAACGGACGGUACCCGAGGAAGAAGCCCCGGCUAACUACGUGCCAGCAGCCGCGGUAAUACGUAGGGGGCAAGCGUUGUCCGGAUUUACUGGGCGUAAAGCGCGCGUAGGCGGAACGUUAAGUCCGGUCUGAAAGCCCCCGGCUCAACCGGGGAGGGUGGCUGGAAACUGGCGUUCUUGAGGGCGAGAGAGGAGGGUGGAAUUCCUGGUAUAGCGGUGAAAUGCGUAGAGAUCAGGAGGAACACCCGUGGCGAAGGCGGCCCUCUGGCUCGACCCUGACGCUGAGGCGCGAAAGCGUGGGGAGCGAACGGGAUUAGAUACCCCGGUAGUCCACGCCGUAAACGCUGGUCACUAGGUGUGUGCGGUAUCGACCCCGCACGUGCCGGCGCUAACGCAAUAAGUGACCCGCCUGGGGAGUACGGCCGCAAGGUUGAAACUCAAAGGAAUUGACGGGGGCCCGCACAAGCGGUGGAGCAUGUGGAUUAAUACGUCACUAACCGUAGAACCUUACCCAGGCUUGACAU